GACGAACGCUGGCGGCGUGCUUCAUACAUGCAAGUCGAACGGACACCAAUCAGUGGCAACACUGAGGAAGUGUUAGUGGCGAACGGGUGAGUAACACGUGAGGAACUUGCCCCGGACUCUGGGAUAACAGUUGGAAACGGCUGCUAAUACCAGAUGCCAUCGGAGGAUCGCAUGGUCCACCGAUGAAAGAAUUUCGGUCCGGGAUGGCCUCGCGGCCUAUCAGCUAGUUGGUGGGGUAACGGCCUACCAAGGCGUCGACGGGUAGCUGGUCUGAGAGGAUGAUCAGCCACACUGGGACUGAGACACGGCCCAGACUCCUACGGGAGGCAGCAGUGGGGAAUUUUGGACAAUGGGCGAAAGCCUGAUCCAGCCAUGCCGCGUGCGGGAAGAAGGCCUUCGGGUUGUAAACCGCUUUAGUCCGGGAAAAGGGACGUGACGUGCUAAUACCGCGUUGGUUUGUAUGGUACUGGAAGAAUAAGCACCGGCUAACUACGUGCCAGCAGCCGAC
rnacentral:rRNA from 1 species